AAUCCAUAGGUUAAUGAGGCGAACCGGGGGAACUGAAACAUCUAAGUACCCCGAGGAAAAGAAAUCAACCGAGAUUCCCCCAGUAGCGGCGAGCGAACGGGGAGGAGCCCAGAGCCUGAAUCAGCAUGUGUGUUAGUGGAAGCGUCUGGAAAGGCGCGCGAUACAGGGUGACAGCCCCGUACACAAAAGCGCAUGUGCUGUGAGCUCGAUGAGUAGGGCGGGACACGUGGUAUCCUGUCUGAAUAUGGGGGGACCAUCCUCCAAGGCUAAAUACUCCUGACUGACCGAUAGUGAACCAGUACCGUGAGGGAAAGGCGAAAAGAACCCCGGCGAGGGGAGUGAAAAAGAACCUGAAACCGUGUACGUACAAGCAGUGGGAGCCCCACCACCAAAGCAUUUGCUGUACCGCGUUGACGGAGCGAAGCGACGUCAAACCGAUAAAACAGCAGUGUAAAGUGAGCCGC
rnacentral:rRNA from 2 species